GACGAACGCUGGCGGCGUGCCUAAUACAUGCAAGUUGAGCGCUGAAGGUUGGUACUUUUACCCACUGGAUGAGCAGCGAACGGGUGAGUAACGCGUGGGGAAUCUGCCUUUGAGCGGGAGACAACAUUUGGAAACGAAUGCUAAUACCGCAUAAAAACUUUAAACACAAGUUUUAAGUUUCCAAGAUGCAAUUGCAUCACUCAAAUAUGAUCCCCCGUUGUAUUAGCUAGUUGGUGAGGUAAAGGCUCAACAAGGCGAUGGUACAUAGACGACCUGGGAGGGUGAUCGGGAACAAUGGGACUGGGACAAGGCCCAAGAUCCUACGGGAAGCAGCAGGAGGGAAUCUUCGGAAAUGGACGAAAGGCUGAACGAGCAACGCCGGGGGAGUGAAGAAGGUUUUCGGGUCGUAAAACUCUGUUGGUAGAGAAGAACGGGGGGGAGAGUGGAAAGCUCAUCAAGUGACGGUAACUACCCAGAAAGGGACGGCUAACUACGUG
rnacentral:rRNA from 1 species